rnacentral:rRNA from 1 species
AGAGUUUGAUCAUGGCUCAGGACGAACGCUGGCGGCGUGCCUAAUGCAUGCAAGUCGAGCGAGCUACAGUCUUCGGACUGUAGCUUAGCGGCGAACGGGUGAGUAACACGUAGGUGAUCUACCCUUCAGAGGAGGACAACCUCAGGAAACUGAGGCUAAACCUUCAUACGUUCACUGGUAGGGAUACUGGUGAAGAAAGAGUUACCGUCAAGGUAGCUGCUGAAGGAUGAGCCUGCGGCCCAUCAGGUAGUUGGUGAGGUAACGGCUCACCAAGCCGAAGACGGGUAACCGGUCUGAGAGGAUGUCCGGUCACACUGGGACUGAGACACGGCCCAGACUCCUACGGGAGGCAGCAGCAGGGAGUCUUGGGCAAUGGGCGAAAGCCUGACCCAGCGACGCCGCGUGGAGGAAGAAGUCCUUCGGGGCGUAAACUCCUGGACUGGGGGACGAGGAAGGACGGUACCCCAGUAGAAAGGGACGGCUAACUACGUGCCAGCAGCCGCGGUAAAACGUAGGUCCCGAGCGUUGUUCGGAUUCACUGGGUGUAAAGGGCGCGUAGGUGGUUGUCUGUGUCUCAUGUGAAAACUCAGGGCUCAACUCUGAGAUUGCGUGGGAAACUAGGCAGCUAGAGGACGGUAGAGGGGAGUGGAAUUCCCGGUGUAGCGGUAAAAUGCGUAGAUAUCGGGAGGAACACCGGUGGCGAAGGCGGCUCUCUGGGCCGAUCCUGACGCUGAGGCGCGAAAGCUAGGGGAGCGAACCGGAUUAGAUACCCGGGUAGUCCUAGCCGUAAACGAUGGGUGCUAGGUGUUGGGGGGUAAAGACCCUUCAGUGCCGAAGCCAACGCGAUAAGCAUCCCACCUGGGGAGUACGGCCGCAAGGUUGAAACUUAAAUGAAUUGACGG